CCCAGACUCCUACGGGAGGCAGCAGUGGGGAAUAUUGCACAAUGGGGGAAACCCUGAUGCAGCGACGCCGCGUGAGUGAAGAAGUAUUUCGGUAUGUAAAGCUCUAUCAGCAGGGAAGAAAAUGACGGUACCUGAUUAAGAAGCCCCGGCUAACUACGUGCCAGCUGCCGCGGUAAUACGUAGGGGGCAAGCGUUAUCCGGAUUUACUGGGUGUAAAGGGAGCGUAGACGGUGAUGCAAGUCAGAAGUGAAAGCCCGGGGCUCAACUCCGGGACUGCUUUUGAAACUGUGUGACUGGAGUGCAGGAGAGGUAAGCGGAAUUCCUGGUGUAGCGGUGAAAUGCGUAGAUAUCAGGAGGAACACCAGUGGCGAAGGCGGCUUGCUGGACAGUAACUGACGUUGAGGCUCGAAAGCGUGGGGAGCAAACAGGAUUAGAUACCCCUGUAC
rnacentral:rRNA from 1 species